rnacentral:rRNA from 1 species
UUUAAAGAGAGUUUGAUCCUGGCUCAGGACGAACGCUGGCGGCGUGCCUAAUACAUGCAAGUCGAACGAACCGACGAAAAGCUUGCUUUUCUGACGUGAGUGGCGGACGGGUGAGUAACACGUGGGCAACCUGCCUAUCAGUUGGGGAUAACUCCGGGAAACCGGGGCUAAUACCGAAUAAUAACGAGCGUCGCAUGACGCUGGUUUGAAAGAUGGUUUCGGCUAUCGCUGAUAGAUGGGCCCGCGGUGCAUUAGCUAGUUGGUGGGGUAAUGGCUCACCAAGGCAACGAUGCAUAGCCGACCUGAGAGGGUGAUCGGCCACACUGGGACUGAGACACGGCCCAGACUCCUACGGGAGGCAGCAGUAGGGAAUCUUCCGCAAUGGACGAAAGUCUGACGGAGCAACGCCGCGUGUGUGAAGAAGGUUUUCGGAUCGUAAAGCACUGUUGUUAGAGAAGAACAAGGAUAAGAGUAACUGCUU